rnacentral:rRNA from 1 species
CUGCUCGCACCUUGACGGUACCUAACCAGAAAGCCACGGCUAACUACGUGCCAGCAGCCGCGGUAAUACGUAGGUGGCAAGCGUUGUCCGGAAUUAUUGGGCGUAAAGGGCUCGCAGGCGGUUUCUUAGUCUGAUGUGAAAGCCCCCGGCUCAACCGGGGAGGGUCAUUGGAAACUGGGAAACUUGAGUGCAGAAGAGGAGAGUGGAAUUCCACGUGUAGCGGUGAAAUGCGUAGAGAUGUGGAGGAACACCAGGGCGAGCGACUCUCUGGUCUGUAACUGACGCUGAGGAGCGAAAGCGUGGGGAGCGAACAGGAUUAGAUACCCUGGUAGUCCACGCCGUAAACGAUGAGUGCUAAGUGUUAGGGGGUUUCCGCCCCUUGUGCUGCAGCUAACGCAUUAAGCACUCCGCCUGGGGAGUACGGUCGCAAGACUGAAACUCAAAGGAAUUGACGGGGGCCCGCACAAGCGGUGGAGCAUGUGGUUUAAUUCGAAGCAACGCGAAGAACUUACCAGGUCUUGACAUCCUCUGACAACCCUAGAGAUAGGGCUUUCCCUUCGGGGACAGAGUGACAGGUGGUGCAUGGUUGUCGUCAGCUCGUGUCGUGAGAUGUUGGGUUAAGUCCCGCAACGAGCCAACCCUUGAUCUUAGUUGCCAGCAUUCAGUUGGGCACUCUAAGGUGACUGCCGGUGACAAACCGGAGGAAGGUGG